rnacentral:rRNA from 1 species
AAAUUGAAGAGUUUGAUCAUGGCUCAGAUUGAACGCUGGCGGCAGGCCUAACACAUGCAAGUCGAGCGGUAGCACAGAGAGCUUGCUCUCGGGUGACGAGCGGCGGACGGGUGAGUAAUGUCUGGGAAACUGCCUGAUGGAGGGGGAUAACUACUGGAAACGGUAGCUAAUACCGCAUAACGUCGCAAGACCAAAGUGGGGGACCUUCGGGCCUCAUGCCAUCAGAUGUGCCCAGAUGGGAUUAGCUGGUAGGUGGGGUAACGGCUCACCUAGGCGACGAUCCCUAGCUGGUCUGAGAGGAUGACCAGCCACACUGGAACUGAGACACGGUCCAGACUCCUACGGGAGGCAGCAGUGGGGAAUAUUGCACAAUGGGCGCAAGCCUGAUGCAGCCAUGCCGCGUGUGUGAAGAAGGCCUUCGGGUUGUAAAGCACUUUCAGCGGGG